AGUGAACGCUGGCGGUAGGCCUAACACAUGCAAGUCGAACGGCAGCACAGGAGAGCUUGCUCUCUGGGUGGCGAGUGGCGGACGGGUGAGGAAUACAUCGGAAUCUACUUUUUCGUGGGGGAUAACGUAGGGAAACUUACGCUAAUACCGCAUACGACCUACGGGUGAAAGCAGGGGACCUUCGGGCCUUGCGCGAUUGAAUGAGCCGAUGUCGGAUUAGCUAGUUGGCGGGGUAAAGGCCCACCAAGGCGACGAUCCGUAGCUGGUCUGAGAGGAUGAUAAGCCACACUGGAACUGGGACACGGUCCAGACUCCUACGGGAGGCAGCAGUGGGGAAUAUUGGACAAUGGGCGCAAGCCUGAUCCAGCCAUACCGCGUGGGUGAAGAAGGCCUUCGGGUUGUAAGGCCCUUUUGUUGGGAAAGAAAUCCAGCUGGCUAAUACCCGGUUGGGAUGACGGUACCCAAAGAAUAAGCACCGGCUAACUUCGUGCCAGCCGCCGCAGUAA
rnacentral:rRNA from 1 species